ensembl:lncRNA
AAUCAAUAACAUUCUUGUUUAUUUAUUGAAGGAAUGCUACUCAAUCAAAACAUGACUACGUGACAACCUCUAGGCCGAGUCACAACAAAGCGACAAGAGAUUCCUGCAGUAAUUGUACAAAUCCCCCCCAAAAUGUAUUUAUUUUAGUGUUAAGGGCUCCAGUUAAGUGUUAAGGUUACUCUCCAUGGUAACUAGUGUAGGAAAGCUAACUGAGAAUGUCCUGGUGAAAUACAUAACAGUCCAAAUGCUUUUAACCUUUAUGUAUUUGAUCAUUUCUGCCGCUGCUAGCCUGGCCUAGUCUAUUCGUCUUUAUGUACUGGAAUCUAAAUGACCCCUGUUCACUUCCCACUGCCUGUGAGACACGGAGAUAACUAAUGGCUCAACCUGCACCGGCCUCACCGCGUUGCCAAGCAAUGUGCACCUGCCCCGGUUGACCUGCCUCAGCCCGCUACACGAGUGCUACACCGAAGCUAGUGUCUGUGUGCAUCCAGACACUGGAGCAGUCGUUACCUCGGGUCUAACAGGGCAUUUCGCUCCCAUGGGAAACCGCAGGGUUGUACGACUCCGCUCCGUUCAUUACGCGCUAAAGGCCAAGGAAAUUUGGUAUAACUUUGGGAGAUGUCAGAAAGUUCCUCAGGUGUGUUGUUGUCCCCCUCUCCCAGUUCCUCAGGUGUGUUGUUGUCCCUCUCCCAGUUCCUCAGGUGUGUGUGUUGUCCCCCUCUCCCGUUCCUCAGGUGUGUUGUCCCUCUCCCAGUUCCUCAGGUGUGUUGUUGUCCCCCUCUCCCAGUUCCUCAGGGUGUUGUUGUUGUCCCCCUCUCCCAGUUCCUCAGGUGUGUUGUUGUCCCCUCUCCCAGUUCCUCAGGUGUGUUGUUGUUCCCCUCUCCCAGUUCCUCAGGUGUUGUUUGUUCUCCUCUCCCAGUCCUCAGUUGUGUGUUUUGUCCCCCUCUCCAGUUCCUCAGUGUGUUGUUGUCCCUCUCUCCCAGUUCCUAGGUGUGUUUUGUCCCUCUCUCCAGUUCUCAGGUGUGUUGUGUCCCCUCUCCCAGUUCCUCAGGUGUGUUGUUGUCCCCCUCUCCCAGUUCCUCAGGUGUGUUGUUGUCCCCCUCUCCCAGUUCCUCAGGUGUGUUGUUGUCCCUCUCCCAGUCCUCAGGUGUGUUGUUGUCCCUCUCCCAGUUCCUCAGGUGGUUGUUGUCCCUCUCCCAGUUCCUCAGGUGUGGUGUUGUCCCUCUCCCAGCUCUCAGGUGUGUUGUUGUCCCCCUCUCCCAGUUCCUCAGUGUGUUGUUGUCCCCCUCUCCCAGUUCCUCAGGUGUGUUGUUGCCCCCUCUCCAGUUCCUCAGUGUGUUGUUGUCCCUCUCCCAGUUCCUCAGUGUGUGUUGU